GGUGUAUCUGAUUUAGGCCGGCCAGAGGCACGCUUAACGGGUGACGACAGCCACCGCGACAUCAAAGUCAUUAGUAAACAUUACAAGAUGGCUACGGAUUAACGCCAGUUGUUUGAAACGUCUUUGGCCGCUACAACAAACGAUGUUUGAGCUGGGCUUG